CCCUUGCCCCGUCCCUGCACAGAUCCAGGCUGUCUCUUGCGGUGCGCAUGCACCUACCGUAUCGUUAUCAACGUCUCCGAGGCAGAUUGCGUGCGGGAAGAGGCUCCCGCUGAACUCCAGCGCCACGCGCUGCACGUAGCUAACUGACCUCAUGGCACCUCCAAGAGCAGAGGGAGCGGAGAGGCCCAGUAAAUAUUCCCUGAACCCCCGUCGCGACAGCCGCCAGAGCGGAAGGCCACCUAAGGCAGCAAGUUACGUCACUGCCUGAACCUCCAAUCUCUGCCUCUUCCUCCUUUAACCUUACAGAGGAGGCGGGUCUUCCGGGCUUGGAGGCGGGCUUCCCAACUCUGAGGAUGGUUGCAAGGAUUCAGUUUCACUCAUGUGAUGCUGUCAGUACAGUGCUAGGCUUACUCCAUAAAUGCUUGAGUUAGUGAUUAUUGUUGGCUGCAGGCGUAAGAAUCUACUACUUUUGAAAUACCAAGAGGACCCAGACACAAACCACAAACACAGGGCUGUGAUGUGAGGUAAGCCCAGUAAGAAAGCAGUUACACAGGGACUUUUUUAAAAAAGAGAUGGUCUCACUCUCUUGCCCAGGCUGGCGUGCAGUGGCACAGUCACAGUUCUCUGCAUCCUUGGUGUCUUGGGCUCAAGGGAUACUCACACUGGGAGACUUGUACACCCCAAUUUUAAUCCUGGCUCCAGCAUCAGCUGUGUUGUAUGACUUGGUGAAAAUUUUCACACAGAAAUACAUCUUCCACCAUUAUACAUUUCUUCUGGAAGGAACUAUACAGGCAUGUGGCUAAGCAGACAACCACAUCGCUGUUGGGAAAGGACUGGAGAGCUCACAGUAGGAGAGAGGGAUGAGGGCAGACACGGGCUCUGGCCUGGAGCCAGGAUUAUCUGGAGGCAGCUCAGCAUGACUGGCUUGUGCUGCCUGGCUUCUCCCAGGGCCCCAUCAUGCCAUAGGAGUUAAGGGUCAAAGCAUAGUUAGAAAAAAAGCACAAGCCUUUUCCUGUUAAGGCUGAGAAGGAAGCUGGACGUGAACACUCUGCUUUACUCUUAACCUUAAUCAUGUAAGUUAUCUGACAGGA
rnacentral:lncRNA from 10 species